UCAACCCCAUCUUUGUGAUUUUUGUGUCUAAUUAGCUAAUUCUUAUGAAUGGAUUAAAAGCUAUCAAAGGAUAAUGCCUAUGGUAUUUUUUUUUUCCUCUUUAGUCUCUAUAUCAGCACUAGCUUCUAUUCGUGAUAUUUUGAAGACCUUGUGCUCAUUUUUCGCUCCUAGUUUCUAAACAAAAGUUGUAGAUCUCUUUGAUUAGAUGAAUUUAGGCGCAAAAAUCACUCAGUUUGGAGCUGUAUCCUAGGAGAUACGCCCUUCGCUUGUCGCUGCUGCUGCAGUUGUUUCUUUCAGCACCAGCCUCUAUUUCGUACAUUUAUCUUCAUUAUAAAGACAUUUUUAGCCAAUUAUGUCUUCAGGAAUUUUGUAGCUCUCUUCCAGAUAUCCAAUUUAGGCUCAAGAAUCACUCAAUUCGGAGUUGUGUGCAAGGAAUUAGAACCCUGAGAGUUCCGCGGUACUGCUGCAUCGUUGUUGUUGUUGUUGUUGCUGCGUGUUCUUUGUACUGCAGCAGAUGAGGUUGUUGUUGUUGGUCUCUAUGCCCCUACUGCUAAGUUGCCAUUGCUGUUUUUCUUCCUCUGUUUCUUCAAUUUACUCUUGUUCCCUUCUUCUCAAAUGGAAGUGUGAAGAAUGUUGGAGAAUCAUUUUGGAAUUCAAGCAUCCGUUAUGGAAAUCAAGGAUUGUGAGUUCUUGGAGUAGUGGUAUUAAUGGAGUUAUUUAAGUUUCUUAUGUAGUGAUUUUGCAGGUUUAGUAAAUGCCAAAGUUAAACCAAGGAUCGUGAGCAGGCCAAGGGAAAGAGGUGUGCUAGCUGGACUGUAUGAAUUGAAUAAGGUUGUAGUAGUUGUAUUUGUGAGUAUUCUUAGGUUAAUUAUGAGAAUUGUUGAUGAGAUUGGUUUUGUUCUUGGUGGAUUAAGAGUUAAGUUUGAUUAAUGUUUAAUAAGCUAUUCUAAUUA